CGGGGCGGGGGCGUGCGCCGGGGGCUGCUGCUGCUGCGGCGGCGUCCCUUUCGAAGCGCCCGAAAUCUCGACCUCCGCUUCACCGCCGCUUCAACUGACACGCGCCGCCAGCCACCCGGAGUUCCUUCACCCGCCCGCACGUUUUAAAAUAAAGAAGACACGACACGGAAAAAGACUCUUCGGAGUCUGAGGCGCUGACUGGGUUGGUCGCCAAGCGGGGGAGGGAGGGCCGGCUGCCGAAGGCCGGGCGGCGGGUGGACCUUCCUGGCUCGGCGCUGCGCAAAGUCGCCCUCCAGCCCGCGGGGCAUGCGGCGAUGAGCUCAUCAUGGCCUCGUGAUGUGGCAUUUCUGUUAACUUCUUUGCAGAGGAAAAUGAGCCUUUGUUGGAAUGAAGCAACAGAGAAGGUUUACCAAGAACACUAAAAGCAGGCAUGUAGCGACCUUACUGGUGGCCAGGGGACAAAGUGCAGCCAGGGGGCUUCCAUCUUUUUACUUCGCGUGUGCAAAGUAUGCAUACCACCAAAGCCACACCCUUGACUGUGCAGCCCAAGCCAAGCCCCCAGUCAUGGAACUUCUAGCUCUUUAUCUUAACAAGAUAAAAAGGACAAUGGAAAAGAUGGCUCUGCCUCUACAUGUGUGCAAAUGUUGAUCGUACCAACGGUAUAAUUAGUUGAGCACCAUCCCACACAUGCAACUGUGAAUGGAGCAGCCUGACAAUCACACAUCCCAUAUGGUCCAACAAGAAAAGCUGCUUCUGCUUUAUUUGUCAACAUCUUGGAAGUCCAAUUGUUGUCAGCAGUCGGAGCGGGGGGACUGCUCUUGGCAACAUUUCAAAACCCUCCCCCAUGCUAUUUUGCAUCCUAGAACUUUCAAACAUCUUGCUCGGGCCUGUGACUUGCUGAUCUGUUUUUCAAGACACAGGAAAGUCUCAAGAGCCCUCUGGACUAAGUCAAGAAAGACCCCUCUGGAGGUGGGUGCUUAAAGUUGCCAGUCUGUCUCCUCAGGGUGGAACAAGAUAUUAAAGUUGAUAUGGGCGCUUUCCAGACUAAACCCUGCAAUGGGGUCACGUCAGAUCUCGGAAGUGUCCUUCCACACUUCCUGCGUUGUGACACCACAGUCCCUACGCGGUCAGCAGGGUGUUGUUCACAUUGCCAAUGCCUUGUUUUGAAUGUAAUCAUUGCGAUAUAGAGCUAGGACGUCGUAUAUCUGGAGUAAGGAAGUUGCUGGUUUUUUGGGUUGUGGUUGUGGUUGUUAAUUCGAUUUCUAUACUAAUAGCUAGUCUGGAAAGCGCCAUGGGGAGAUGACUCCUAUUGAGUUUGUCUGUCUCUCCUCCUUGUAACGGAGGAACACACUUCUUUGUAUCAUGAUCAGGACUGGUCCUAGGGUUUUUGGUGCCCUGGGCAAAGUUUGACUUUGGUGCCGCCCCCGUGCAGUGGGGAAGAGUGGAGCCCCAGCUUUAACUUGAGCCACGCAGGCUGCUCAUUCGCUGGGUUGAAUGAGCAGCCUGCAUGGAUGACCAGCGAAUUACUAGCCUGUGUAAGUCUGUGGACACAGUGAAAGAGGGGAAAGGGUCGAGGAGUUUGGAGCCUGCCCAAUGCUUGCCCUUCCUCUAUUGCCGCUCUGUCUGUCUCCUUGAAAGGCAUUUUUAACAGUGCUGCGAAGAGCUUCCCUCUGCAACCAACCAGGCCUGACUGCAGUCAAGCCAAUCGUCAUGUGCACCACUUCCUUCCUGUUUUGGGUCCAGGCGAUUGAGGAACCAGGAUGGAGGCUCCCGCCUGAGCAAAUGCAACAGUAACACAGCAGAACUAGGCAGGGAGCAGGUAGGAAUGGAGAAAACUGUGUGUGUAUGUGUGUGGGGGAAGCAAGCCAGAGACCAGGAGGCAGCCCCCACCCACUUGACUUCUGCCCAGCAAGCUGCAGUGUAGAAUUGGUGCCUUGGGUGACUGCCUAGGUCAGUGAUUCUCAAACUUGGGUCCUCAGGUGUUAUUGGACUUCAACUCCCAUA